GUUUACCUCAACUCUUACGGGGAUUACCAAGAAGUUAACGUGUUAAUUAAUGGCAACUCUUGGCUCGUGUGCUUUUCUUUAAAUCAAGAUAUUCAGAUAACUUCUAUACCGGUAGCCUAUAUGUAGCAAAAACAUCCAAAAUGGAAGAAGUUUUAAAGAAAGACCGUAUCACUAUCACUGCACGAAUCCUGACAAGGAAUGAUGUCCUUACCAAACGACAAGCCGGCAGAGACAGCAUUGACAGGGGCAACAGAUACGAGGCUGGAAGCAGCUCGAGCAUUGGGCGCAUUAGAUUCUCAUCUAUAGACAGAGAAUGUGAUAAACGUCUACCGUGUACGAGGCCACAACCAGCUGAGAAUACGGUGAUACAUUUGUCAGGUAUGGACACUCCUGAUGACUCCUGCUGUGUUGUCAUGUAGCCUAAAAGAAUACAAUUAACGAAGUGACAAUUUAUUGAUAUUACUAAAACAAGGAAACAUACAUAAAUAUGUGUGCAAAUUAGAUUUUUUUUUAAUGUUAAAAA
rnacentral:sRNA from 1 species